GGCAAAAGCAGGUCCUGAAGGCAGGAUCCUGAAGAUCAGGCACCACCUGACAGAAUUCUCAAGCACCUGACUCAUCACCUCUGCAGUGCAUCCCUUUCCAGAAGUCCACUCUCCUGAUUCACCACCAGUGGAAGUUUUAACAAUGGAAACACCAUCUGUGCAAGGUGUCCACAUUGCUAGCUGGGCGGUGAAUGAUUCAGCUCCAAAAUCCCAUUUGAUUGCCUGCUCUUUCCAGACACAACUGCAGCAAACUGGAUUGUCUAGACACAGAUGAUGAGACAGAGUUUAGGGUGCAAGAAGCUAACUAGGGAUCAACACCUGUGUAAGGAAGCAGGUGGAAGCACAAUUGAAGUUGAGAAAGAUGAAGAGGUUGAACUGCCCUGCAGGCCAGAUAGAGCCUUGCCAAACCAGUGGGGAACUCGGAGGAAGUCCUGCCUGCCAGUUUCCCAUGUGGAGCCGAAACAGUCGUGCUUUUAUCUCUCCACCUUGCUCAGUCACCAGAUGCAGGCCACGCCCAGAAGGGUAUGUUUUUCUCUGCAGCUCAGACUGAUGUUGAGGAGCUGGGAGCUGGAAGCCACCUGCUGACUGCACUCCCUGCAGCUGGUCAGCCCAUCCUUCUCGAGGGGCAUCUGAAUGGCAUCUUCAUCAGAAUGCAAGGCUGGGUGCAGUGGCCCACGCCUGUAAUCCCAGCACUUUGGCAGGCCGAGGCGGGCAGAUCACCGGAGCUCAGGAGUUCGAAACCAGCCUGGGCAACGUGGCGAAACCCUCUCUCUACUAAAAAUACAAAAAUGAGCUGCACAUGUUGGCGCACACCUGCAAUCCCAGCUACUCAGGAGGCUGAGGCAGGAGAAUCGCUUGAACC
rnacentral:lncRNA from 10 species